rnacentral:lncRNA from 1 species
UUAUUUUCAUUUGCAAGCAUUGUGAUUUAUGGGUUUGUUUCGUUUUCUUUUUUCCUUUCUCUGCAUCAGAAGCAAUGGGGCACCUGGAAGCUGCUGUCUGUCUGUCUGCAGGAUGGGGGAAAGCAGCAGGACCUCUUGCUUCCAAAAACCUGGCAAACAUGUCAUUGAGCUCUGGGAAAUGCUUUCAGAGGGACAGGUAGCUGGGUCAGAGCUCUGUGUCUGUGUCAGCCCAAAGAAGGGGGUUUACAACUACUGAGAACCCAACUGAGAAUGAUCCAAAUGGGAAUGGGAGGCAAACAUCCAAAACAAAGCAGGGAGCGAGCAGUGCAACCUAGUUUAAGGAGGUGCCUAACGGAUGACAGCUCCCAAGACAUGGCUGGGAAGCAGCAGAUGGGCACUUGGGGCUCAUGGACUUCAGCAGGGAGAGAGCAGUGGGACAGCAGAGCAGACCCCUCCAUUACCACAGCACUGGGUGCUGGACAAGGCACGUUGCCGCGGAGUAUUGAUUGCCAGAGGAACAAAAGCAAAGCAUGGGUAAAGUGCAAUAAUCAUGUGAGAGGAGAGAAACUACAGAAGUACACCACAGGUUCACUUAACUCCUGCUUGGUCGAUAAGCUGCUUAUUGAAACGCAUUAUUCUUCUGUUCCUGAUUCCCAGAAGUGUCUGAGCUGCCUGGAAGACCAUAACAGAACAGGCUGCCUCCUAGGUCUGCCAUUGAUUUUAAUGGAAAG